UUCAACUUUGUAUCCCCCUUUUGUCUCUUUGACUCUCAAUCUUAAUGUUAUUAACGUAUUUCUGUGUAAUACAUAAGGAGUAUUUCAUUAGUGAAUACUUGCUGCAUGAGAUUGGGAAGGAGAAAGAGGAAUCAAAACCAGUUUACCUGCCAGAUGUCAGAAAGCAUUAUUUCUAUUUGCACUGUAAUGUUGUUACAUUGUUGACUCUCUGUGUCUGACUGCAUCAUCUAAAAUCUGCUUGGAGUGUUAUCUAGCAUGCUGUGGGGGAGUCUCACAAGGACAAUAGCAAUAUGCAAGCCUGGGUUCUUCUCCAGCCCUUCAAGAACUGUCCAUAUGUGACUUUAUUUAUGAGGAGAUGUAUAUUCAUCAGAAAUUAUUUACAUUAAAAUGUAUUGCUUAAGUUUUGAAAUCUGUAUUUUUAUUAUUAUGCUUUAAAACAAAUUAUCAUAAGAGGGUGAAGCAUGACAAUUUAUGGAACUCUGUGUUAGUGUUUAUAUUAGCCAUUUGUGUGGGGGGGAUAUUGUGUAGUAUUUAUAUACAUGUGCGCAUGCGUGCGCACACAGAGUGUGUGUAUAUUCAUAUAAUAGAUAGUAAUAUGUUUAACUAAGUGGUGGCUUCUAGGUCUUUCUAUAGUUUUAGUGCUGUUCUGGGUAUGAUAUAAAAACAGAAAAAUCUCUGACUAGAGUUCAGCAUAAAUUUCCUUUUUUGUGUAUCAAGGCUUAAAAUAUUACAUUACUGGAUUUUUAUUAAUAUCCUGCCAAAAAUGUACCUUCAUUAUUCUUGAUUAUUUUAAGGUAUAAUACAGCAACUACUAACACAUUAUUUUUCAUAAUAUCUACAGAAAAACAUCACUGUUAAUAUAUAAAGGAUAUAGUUGGGUUGAAUAGCACAAAGAAGUAGUUGGAAAUCAGGUUAUAUUUUGUUCUCAUGAAAAUCUAUAUUUAGGUCAUAUUUAUUAUUUCAUGUCAUUUACUGAUAUACAUUCAGAGUUUAGUGUUAGGGGUUUUAACUGGGAGCGUAACUAUUUUUUAAAUAUAUAUGUUAUUGAAGGAUACAGACUCUUUGAGUAUGUUAUAGGGUGCUCCUUGAUCAUGGUAUUUGCUAUUACAGAUUUUAUAGAAGUCUCAGUUUUGGCUCCAAGUAUAAAUAACUUUUGUGUUUUAAUGCUUUGCUUCUUACUGGUUUCAUUAGCUUUUGAAAUUAGGUCAUAGCUAUUUGAAAAUGGACACUGCUAUUACACUCUCUUUUAUGGUAUAUAGCCUGCAGGAAAAAAGUUACUGGAUCUGUGCACAGAAGAUUAAAUGGUACAAGAUCUGCAGUAUUUUCCAGGAGAUCUGCAGCUAACGAAACCCUUAGCCCAAGAGCAGCUGCCUUGUGCUGGAAGCUCAUUUUUGAGCAUUUUUGAGAUCACUCUGUCCUGAACAAAGACGACAACAUCAUCUACAUAAUCCAGCAGGUCUCUGGUGUGCAAAGGAGUGCGUGUGCCAGAGUGAGCUGACGAACCAAAGGGGAAUGGUCCAAGUGUCUGAUGAUCAAGGCAGGAUGUAUUUGGAGAGAAUUAGGACAAGAAGGGCUAUUAGUGUCAACCUGCAAAGGGUAACUGGGUUGGUGAGAGCCAGGACAGAGAAGAAAAGUAUUGAAAGGGCCAAUGAGAAGAAAGUCCCCUUACACUUCAAGAGAUGGUUUAUUGAAGACAGUUGAUGGAAUAGAGCAGAAGACUUGCACUGCCAGUAUGUAUACUGUGCCCAUUCUGAGGAGAACGGUAAUUCAGUCUCCAAGACUGUCAAGCUGGCAUCUUCUGUGAACACUAACAUUAUCUGAAUAUAUAUAAUUUUGAGGUAUUUCAAAAUAAAAAUCAAAUAUAAAGCUGAGGAGUAGUGAAAUUAAAAAUAAAAAUGAUACUAAUGCUGAGGAGAAUUCUUGGGAAAAGAUAACAUAGUGAUACAAAUUUUGGUAUAUGGAUUGUAAUUAUGUAUUAUGGCAUGUGAGGUUAUCUUCUGUAAGUAAGUAACAUAAGGCAAAUGAAGAUACCAGUAAUAUAUUAUAAGUGUUGAGGAUUUUGCAUUAAUGUAUCUAACAGGAAAAAUGACCUGCAAAACAUGCCAGAAAAUUACUUAUUACAGAACCUUGUGAAAAUAUUUCUCUCUCACUAUGAUGAAAUACAGUUUUACAUUCUUGAUAGUAAAUUAGGUCACUUCAGUCUGGCUUUUCAAUGACGUUUUUAAUUCUAUCAGAGAAGACACACUGUACAUAAAAAGUAGGUCACACUGUGCAGAGAUUUCCCUAUCAGACUGAUAAAAUAUGCUUGCAUAUUGAAUCUCCUUGGUGUGGAAAAAUGGAUGGUUCUGACAUUAGGAUUUGGCAUUAGAAAUAUUGCAUAUAUACAUUUGAUGGUGAUAUCAUUAAAAUAGCUUUUAACCUAUUUUUCACAUGAAGAUUUAUUUGUCUAUUUUUUUUAAAUUAUGCUCUGCUAAUUCAAUGGAUAUUGCCAGGUAGGUUAGACCCAAAAUGUAGGUUUUGUGUAAAUAUAUGUAGAAAAUACAGAAUGGCAUGAUACAUAAGGCUUUUAUCAACAAUUUUGGGAUGGCUACAUUACUCAUGAAUGGCUAUGCAACACACCAUGCCAUAUAUUCUGUAUAUGCCCUCUCUGGUAUAGGAAAAACUAUUUUAGGAAAAUUUGUGUGUGUGUGUUUCGUUUUUUUUUUAAAUAUUGGGACUAUUUUGUACCCCUUCACCUGUUGAGCUAGAUGUCUUAAUUACCAGCCCUAUGAGUACUAAUUGUACAG